rnacentral:rRNA from 1 species
GACGAACGCUGGCGGCGUGCUUAACACAUGCAAGUCGAACGGAAAGGCCCUGCUUUUGUGGUGUGCUCGAGUGGCGAACGGGUGAGUAACACGUGAGUAACCUGCCCUUGACUUUGGGAUAACUUCAGGAAACUGGGGCUCAUACCGGAUAGGAGCUCCUGCUGCAUGGUGUGGGUUGGAAAGUUUCGGCGGUUGGGGAUGGACUCGCGGCUUAUCAGCUUGUUGGUGGGGUAGUGGCUUACCAAGGCUUUGACGGGUAGCCGGCCUGAGAGGGUGACCGGCCACAUUGGGACUGAGAUACGGCCCAGACUCCUACGGGAGGCAGCAGUGGGGAAUAUUGCACAAUGGGCGGAAGCCUGAUGCAGCAACGCCGCGUGCGGGAUGACGGCCUUCGGGUUGUAAACCGCUUUCGCCUGUGACGAAGCGUGAGUGACGGUAAUGGGUAAAGAAGCACCGGCUAACUAC